ACGGGGGGGGCAAGCGUUGUUCGGAAUUACUGGGCGUAAAGGGCGCGUAGGCGGUUCGCUAAGUUGGAUGUGAAAACUCUGGGCUCAACCCAGAGCCUGCAUCCAAAACUGUCAGGCUAGAGCACGGUAGAGGCAGAUGGAAUUCCCGGUGUAGCGGUGGAAUGCGUAGAGAUCCGGAAGAACACCGGUGGCGAAGGCGGCCUGCUGGGCAGUAGCUGACACUGAGGCGCGACAGCGUGGGGAGCAAACAGGA
rnacentral:rRNA from 1 species